UACGUAGGUGGCAAGCGUUGUCCGGAUUUAUUGGGUUUAAAGGGUGCGUAGGCGGUUCUGUAAGUCAGUGGUGAAAUACGGCAGCUUAACUGUCGAGGUGCCAUUGAUACUGCGGGACUUGAGUACAGACGAGGUAGGCGGAAUUGACGGUGUAGCGGUGAAAUGCUUAGAUAUCGUCAAGAACACCGAUAGCGAAGGCAGCUUACUAGACUGUAACUGACGCUGAGGCACGAAAGCGUGGGGAUCAAACAGGAUUAGAAACCCGAGUAGU
rnacentral:rRNA from 1 species